GCAGGGUGAGGGAGGUGAUUCUGCCCCUCUGUCCUGCUCUUGUGGAACCCCACUUGGAGUGCUGCAUCCAGCUUUGGAGCGCCAACAGAAGAAACAUGAACCUGUUGGAAAAAUCCAGAGGGUGGGUGAUGAAGAUGAUCCGAGGGCGGGAGCACCUCUCCCAUGAACACAGGCUGAGGAAACUGGGGCUGUUCAGCCUGGGGAAGAGAAGGCUCCAGGGAGAUCUUCCAGUACCUAAAGGGGGCUUACAGGAGAGCUGGAGGGGAACUUUUCACAAGGACGGAAACAUCUGAAAUAAGCAUCAUGCUCUCCGGAGACAGAGGGAAGACUUUUCAUCAUCCAAAGCCCUGUCAGUCCUUUCCAGGUGGCACAGAAGGAAACUUUGCUAAUUCCUCACUCCUACCUACUUCUUUGGAAGUGGAAGAAUGGAACAGAAUCACAGCUGAUGUAUCAAGUGGGCAUGUUGUGUGUAUUUGAGUGGAUCAGGACUGGGAAGAUACUAUAUUUUUACAGAGUAUAGGCAAGUCACUUGCCCCAAAUCAGACCCCUUUAGUAAGUUUCUAGAAAAAGAAAUCACAAAAUGUUUAUUACUUGAA